rnacentral:rRNA from 1 species
UGGGGAAUCUUGCACAAUGGGGGCAACCCUGAUGCAGCGACGCCGCGUGAGCGAUGAAGCCCUUCGGGGCGUAAAGCUCUUUCGACCGGAACGAUAAUGACGGUACCGGGAGAAGAAGCUGCGGCUAACUACGUGCCAGCAGCCGCGGUAAUACGUAGGCAGCAAGCGUUGUUCGGAGUUACUGGGCGUAAAGAGUGCGUAGGCGGUUUUCUAAGUUCGGUGUGAAAUCUCCCGGCUUGACUGGGAGGGUGCGCCGAAGACUGGGAAGCUGGAGUGUGGGAAAGGCAGGCGGAAUUCCUGGUGUAGCGGUGAAAUGCGUAGAUAUCAGGAGGAACACCGGCGGUGUAGACGGCUUGCUAGACCAUAACUGACGCUGAGGCACGAAAGCGUGGGUAGCAAACA